AGUCCAUACCGUAAACGAUGGGUGCUAGUUGUUAAGAGGUUUCCGCCUCCUAGUGACGUAGCAAACGCAUUAAGCACCCCGCCUGAGGAGUACGGCCGCAAGGCUAAAACUUAAAGGAAUUGACGGGGACCCGCACAAGCGGUGGAGCAUGUGGUUUAAUUCGAAGAUACGCGAAAAACCUUACCAGGUCUUGACAUACCAAUGAUCGCUUUUGUAAUGAAAGCUUUUCUUCGGAACAUUGGAUACAGGUGGUGCAUGGUCGUCGUCAGCUCGUGUCGUGAGAUGUUGGGUUAAGUCCCGCAACGAGCGCAACCCUUGUUAUUAGUUGCCAGCAUUUAGUUGGGCACUCUAAUGAGACUGCCGGUGAUAAACCGGAGGAAGGUGGGGACGACGUCAGAUCAUCAUGCCCCUUAUGACCUGGGCAACACACGUGCUACAAUGGGAAGUACAACGAGUCGCAAACCGGCGACGGUAAGCUAAUCUCUUAAAACUUCUCUCAGUUCGGACUGGAGUCUGCAACUCGACUCCACGAAGGCGGAAUCGCUAGUAAUCGCGAAUCAGCAUGUCGCGGUGAAUACGUUCCCGGGUCUUGUACACAC
rnacentral:rRNA from 1 species